rnacentral:lncRNA from 1 species
UUUGAUUUGUACGGCAGGCGUUACCGACGUUAUGAAAUCAGCUCUACACGCUAACUUUGAAGUACCCAUUAAAUGGGUUCCUUGUACCCAUUUUUAUUGCUAGUACUGAGUUGUCAGAAAAAGGGUAUUAUUUUUUAACACUAAAAAGAGUACAUUUUACUCUUCUUGAAGAACGAGUUCCGUCAGUAAAAAAGGGUAAAAAAGCCACUUUUCGCCAUUUGGAGCAACAACAUUGAAGUGUUUUGCCGCAAAUCAUAUUUCGUUAAUUAAUUGAAAGAAUCAUGUACUUAUGAUCAGCGUACCGGCCAUAAAGCAGAACCCUUCAAGGAGCAUUACAAGCGGCAAUUAAAGAGUGGGUUUUCAUCCGGGAUAUGGAAUAGCAAAAUACGGAGCAAGACCCCUGGAUACAGAUGAGAAAGUCAACGCAUUAAAGUUUGAGUUAGCACCUUAGUUAUAAGUAAUCAAAUAAAAAGAUUUCCAUUAAAAUAUA